CCCAACCAGAUCAGGCUCGCAGAGAAGCCCAGUGUCCAGCUAUAGAUCCUGGACAAUUCCUAAAAUCACCACGGAACUCAAAAAGAGGAAUAUCCCUUUCCUGGCCCCAGCCAGGAAAGCUGAACUUUUCGUUUGUUAAAUACUUACAAGGACAACGAAAGGCCUGGCCCUGGUUCUAAGUUUAACGUGCAAAACAGCCAGUCAAACCUGCACGUGGUGAUGGCCUCCCUAGUGUUUUCUGUACCCACGAUUAAUAAUAGGUUGGAUAAUCUGGAGUCUAAUAAUACACCAACCAUUCC